rnacentral:tRNA from 1 species
CAAGUUAAAGCUUAAUAAGUUAAGCAGUUUAUUUACAUUAAAAGGAAGUUGUGCAAUUCAAUAUAAUUUGA